rnacentral:rRNA from 1 species
CCUACGGGGGGCAGCAGUGGGGAAUAUUGGACAAUGGGGGGAACCCUGAUCCAGCCAUGCCGCGUGUGUGAAGAAGGCCCUCGGGUUGUAAAGCACUUUCAGUGAUGAAGAACGCCUGGUGGUUAAUACCCAUCAGGAAAGACAUCACUCACAGAAGAAGCACCGGCUAACUCCGUGCCAGCAGCCGCGGUAAUACGGAGGGUGCGAGCGUUAAUCGGAAUUACUGGGCGUAAAGCGCGCGUAGGUGGCUUGAUAAGCCGGUUGUGAAAGCCCCGGGCUCAACCUGGGAACGGCAUCCGGAACUGUCAAGCUAGAGUGCAGGAGAGGAAGGUAGAAUUCCCGGUGUAGCGGUGAAAUGCGUAGAGAUCGGGAGGAAUACCAGUGGCGAAGGCGGCCUUCUGGACUGACACUGACACUGAGGUGCGAAAGCGUGGGUAGCAAACAGGAUUAGAUACCCGGGUAGUC